AGAAGUAUGCCUCUAUCAGUGUCCACAAAUCAAACUUGGUUUUCUUCUUUCCGUGUAUUCGGUGGAGGAUAUGCCAGAUAUGAAGUGUCUUGCGGCUGGUUUACGAAUCGGCUGCGAGUCCUUUUAAAUAUAUAGAACUGUACUUCUCAUGCUUGAAAAGCGUGACGAUGCUAGUUUGAAGACUGUUCGUGUGGCCAGUCGGCGACCUGUUUGGAAACUGUGACUAUAUGAAGAAGUGUUCGAUUCGCGGUAUGAUUGGCUUCGGCUGGACUACGUUUAUUGGAUGUUUUUUCGGUUAUGGUAGUACGAACGGGUGAACCGUAGCUAUGCAUGUGACUGGUUUUCUUACCUGUGUUGUUGCUGCGAAGUAAAGCGUCAACUUCGGUUGUUGAGGGUCAACCUAUUUGGGAAAUGUGAAGUAAAGCUUCGGCUGCACUUUACCUCAAACGGACCUGAUAUUAGGCAAGAUUACCCGCUGAACUUAAGCAUAUCAAUAAGCGGAGAA
rnacentral:rRNA from 1 species